rnacentral:rRNA from 1 species
UCGAAACCUGCACAGCAGAACGACCCGCGAACUCGUUUACCAACCCCGAGGGGCGGGGCCUGCCCCGUACCCCUCGGUGCCGGAACGCGCCUUCGCCCUCUCCCCGUGAAAAGGGCGACGGGCCGGCGCGCGACGGCAAGAACCCAAACACCGGCGCGGGUUGCGCCAAGGACUAUGAAUUCUAUCGCGUCCCGCGGCCCCGGGCGACCGGGUUCCGCGGCGAAGGCGCGUCGAAAAUUGAACAAAACGACUCUCGGCAACGGAUAUCUCGGCUCUCGCAUCGAUGAAGAACGUAGCGAAAUGCGAUACUUGGUGUGAAUUGCAGAAUCCCGUGAACCAUCGAGUCUUUGAACGCAAGUUGCGCCCGAAGCCAUCCGGCCGAGGGCACGUCUGCCUGGGCGUCACGCAUCGCGUCGCCCCCUCCCCCUCCAUCGAGCGGAGAGAGGGGCGGAGUAUGGCCCCCCGUGCGCUCCCGCGCGCGGCCGGCCUAAACACGGAGCCCGUGGCCGCGAGCGCCGCGACGUUUGGUGGUUGAAUCUUAAGCAUCRCGUCGCGUGCUCGUGCGGCAACGAGGACGGCUCGGAGGACCCUUGGGCGCCACAGCCUACCCUUGCGACCCC